CAGCAGCCGCGGUAAUACGGAGGGGGUUAGCGUUGUUCGGAAUUACUGGGCGUAAAGCGCACGUAGGCGGAUUGGAAAGUUAGAGGUGAAAUCCCGGGGCUCAACCCCGGAACUGCCUUUAAAACUCCCAGUCUAGAGUUCGAGAGAGGUGAGUGGAAUUCCGAGUGUAGAGGUGAAAUUCGUAGAUAUUCGGAGGAACACCAGUGGCGAAGGCGGCUCACUGGCUCGAUACUGACGCUGAGGUGCGAAAGUGUGGGGAGCAAACAGGAUUAGAUACCCUGGUAGUCCACACCGUAAACGAUGAAUGCCAGUCGUCGGGUAGCAUACUAUUCGGUGACACACCUAACGGAUUAAGCAUUCCGCCUGGGGAGUACGGUCGCAAGAUUAAAACUCAAAGGAAUUGACGGGG
rnacentral:rRNA from 1 species